AUGGGGUAGACCAGUGGUUCUCAACCUUUUUUGUACUAGGGCCCAUGUAUAAACAUUGAGGGCCAGUCCUGACUCAGUAAAUAGUUUAAGGAGAAGCAGUCCCCUGGCCCUGCAAACUCCCAACCUGCUUCCCCCCAGGCUCUCAGUGUGUGGGGCAGGGG